rnacentral:rRNA from 1 species
UACGUAGGUGGCAAGCGUUGUCCGGGAUUACUGGGUGUAAAGGGAGCGCAGGCGGGAAGCCAAGUCAGCUGUGAAAACUACGGGCUUAACUUGUAGACUGCAGCUGAGACUGGUUUUCUUGAGUGAAGUAGAGGUUGGCGGAAUUCCGAGUGUAGCGGUGAAAUGCGUAGAUAUUCGGAGGAACACCGGUGGCGAAGGCGGCCAACUGGGCUUUAACUGACGCUGAGGCUCGAAAGUGUGGGGAGCAACCAGG